UCCAAAUGGGGAGGCUAUGGUUCCCCCGCACUGAUGCCAAGCUUCAGGGGGAGAAAUGGGAAUGCGGUGAGGGUGACCCAAUUCGGGGCCUGAUGCCGCAGCCGCCCCCGCGACUGUAAGCGGAGAGUGCUUUGUCGGUUUGCCACUGGGGCCAGAUGCCCCGGGAAGGUGACAAGGUGCCCUGACCCGCGAGCCAGGAGACCAGCCGUGGCAAGACAUCAACC
rnacentral:ncRNA from 1 species